rnacentral:rRNA from 1 species
GAUGAACGCUGGCGGCGUGCCUAAUACAUGCAAGUCGAGCGAACGGACGAGAGGCUUGCUUCUCUGAUGUUAGCGGCGGACGGGUGAGUAACACGUGGAUAACCUACCUAUAAGACUGGGAUAACUUCGGGAAACCGGAGCUAAUACCGGAUAAUAUUUUGAACCGCAUGGUUCAAAAGUGAAAGACGGUCUUGCUGUCACUUAUAGAUGGAUCCGCGCUGCAUUAGCUAGUUGGUAAGGUAACGGCUUACCAAGGCAACGAUGCAUAGCCGACCUGAGAGGGUGAUCGGCCACACUGGAACUGAGACACGGUCCAGACUCCUACGGGAGGCAGCAGUAGGGAAUCUUCCGCAAUGGGCGAAAGCCUGACGGAGCAACGCCGCGUGAGUGAUGAAGGUCUUCGGAUCGUAAAACUCUGUUAUUAGGGAAGAACAUAUGUAUAAGUAACUGUGCACAUCUUGACGGUACCUAAUCAGAAAGCCACGGCUAACUACGUG